UGGGGAAUAUUGGACAAUGGGGGCAACCCUGAUCCAGCCAUGCCGCGUGAGUGAUGAAGGCCCUAGGGUUGUAAAGCUCUUUUGUGCGGGAAGAUAAUGACGGUACCGCAAGAAUAAGCCCCGGCUAACUUCGUGCCAGCAGCCGCGGUAAUACGAAGGGGGCUAGCGUUGCUCGGAAUCACUGGGCGUAAAGGGUGCGUAGGCGGGUCUUUAAGUCAGGGGUGAAAUCCUGGAGCUCAACUCCAGAACUGCCUUUGAUACUGAGGAUCUUGAGUCCGGAAGA
rnacentral:rRNA from 1 species